GUCUAUGGCCAUGCCACUCUGAAUAAGCCCGCUGUCUGAUCUCAGAAGCAGGGUUGGGUCUGGUUAGUACUUGAAUGGGAGACCACCUAGGAAGACCAGGUGCUGUAGGCA
rnacentral:rRNA from 1 species